UUGAAUAUAAAAAAAAAUCACUUUUCAACAGAGACAUACACAAAAUGGCAAAAGCUUCACUGUUGUUUCAUUGUUUGAUGGUUUUGUUUCUCAUAGCACUUGAAACAGGUUGUGUGAAUGCUUGUCAAUACAAGUGCAAAUCCGUGAGUGCAAGUGAUUGCAAAAGUUUACAAUGCUUUCGGCCUGGUUGCAAAAAGUAUUGCCUAAAUGGAUGUUGCCUUUGCGGUUGUAAUGGAAAUGAAAUGUUAGAUCAUGAAUUAAUGAUAAUGAAAUAAAGUUGAGGUUUCAUGGUUCAAAUAAAGAUGUAUCAAUUGCAUGCCUUCUUCUGGAAUUUA